rnacentral:tRNA from 1 species
GGGCCCGUAGUCUAGCUUGGUUAGGAUGCCCGCCUGACGCGCGGGAGAUCCCGGGUUCAAGUCCCGGCGGGCCCA